CCCUUAGAUGUUCUGGGCCGCACGCGCGCUACACUGUUCGACGCAGCGAGUCUUAACCUUGACCGAAAGGUUUGGGUAAUCUUCAGCAAAGUCGAACGUGAUGGGGAUCGAUCAUUGCAAUUAUUGAUCGUGAACGAGGAAUUCCUAGUAAGUGCAAGUCAUCAGCUUGCGCUGAUUACGUCCCUGCCCUUUGUACACACCGCCAGUCGCUACUACCGAUUGAAUGGUUUAGUGAGAUCUCUGGAUUGACGCUGGCUAGGGGGCGACCCUUGGCCAGACUGUUGAGAAACUGCUCAAACUUGAUCAUUUAGAGGAAGUAAAAGUCGUAACA
rnacentral:rRNA from 1 species